UACAGAGGUCUCAAGCGUUGUUCGGAUUCAUUGGGCGUAAAGGGUGCGUAGGUGGCGCCGUAAGUCGGGUGUGAAAUUUCGGAGCUUAACUCCGAAACUGCAUUCGAUACUGCGGUGCUUGAGGACUGGAGAGGAGACUGGAAUUCAUGGUGUAGCAGUGAAAUGCGUAGAGAUCAUGAGGAAGACCAGUGGCGAAGGCAGCUCGCUGGGACGUUACUGACACUGGAGGCGCGAAAGCGUGGGGAGCGAACAGG
rnacentral:rRNA from 1 species